AUCGAACGCUGGCGGCAGGCUUAACACAUGCAAGUCGAGCGAGCGGCGGACGGGUGAGUAAUGUCUGGGAACCUGCCUGAUGGAGGGGGAUAACUACUGGAAAAGGUAGCUAAUACCGCAUAACAUCAGUUGUGCCCAGAGGGGAUUAGCUAGUCGGUGGGGUAAUGGCUCACCUAGGGGACGAUCCCUAGCUGGUCUGAGAGGGUGACCAGCCAAACUGGAACAGAGACACGGUCCAGGCUCCCACGGGAGGGAACAGUUGGGAAUGUUGCGCAAAGGGCGCAAGCCUGAUGCAGCCAAGUCGCGGGUGGGAAGAAGGCCUUCGGGUUGGAAAACAUCUUUAGCGAGAGAGCGUUAAUCUCAGAAGAAGCACCGGCUAACUCCGGUCCAGCAGCCGCGGUAAUUC
rnacentral:rRNA from 1 species